rnacentral:rRNA from 1 species
GGAGGUGGCAAGCGUUGUUCGGAAUUACUGGGCGUAAAGGGCGCGUAGGCGGGGAGGCAAGUCGGGUGUGAAAUCCCUCGGCCCAACCGAGGAACGGCGCUCGAAACUGCUUCUCUUGAGUCCCGGAGAGGAAGGUGGAAUUCCCGGUGUAGCGGUGAAAUGUGUAGAGAUCGGGAGGAACACCGGUGGCGAAGGCGGCCUUCUGGACGGUGACUGACGCUGAGGCGCGAAAGCGUGGGUAGCAAACGGGAUUAGAUACCCGGUAGUCCACGCUGUAAACGAUGGGUGCUAGGUGUGGGGGGUAUCGACCCCCUUCCCGUGCCCGAAGCUAACGCAUUAAGCACCCCGCCUGGGGAGUACGGCCGCAAGGUUG